CAUUUGCCUGCAGUGUCUAAUCCAGGCUCAUCGCACAGUGCAUGUGAGCCACACGCGUGGACUGAGCACAUGAAAAAGCACCUGACUCUGCCUGGAAGUGUGAGCGGGGGCUUCCAGAGGAGUCAGCAGCUGACAUCGGGCAUAAAGGGAAACUGAAAGUAUCAGAUCAAAGGGACAAGGCAGCAGGCAAAGGGCAUUUCCAACAGAAGAAACAAAUACAAAGGCCUGAAACCACAAAAAGGGAGCAAAAAUUCUGAGAAGGAAAAAGAGGGCAUGGGUCUCACCUGAGCAAUGAACCGUAUGCAAGUCUGCCUAGGGGAGGCCACAAGAGUGGAUUUAUACUGGUGAACCCACAAGAAAAAUGUGUACCUGAUAGAGCAUCAGACAUGAAAGGACAACUCAAUUCCUUUUGGAAAAGGAUCAUUCAUCUGGACCGUUUUGGUGAAGUAGAGUCACUAGUCUUGACCCUACGAAAUCAAUGCUGAUAAUAAAA